ACGGUAGUAUUCCACGCCCCCUCCCAAAAAAAAAGUAUUUGAAAUAUAUAUGUGCCAUUGAACUUGGAUGUUUGUUUGCAUGUAAAAGCACUACUGCAUGAACUUCGGUGUGGAGGAACCUUUCUUAUAGCAAAGAGUGUAGAACUCCAUAUAAGUUUUGCUAAUGUCUUCUUUUUUUUUGAGUCGCAUUCACAUUAAUGACUUAAGUAAUAAAUUCAUAUUUGUAGGAGAAAGAGAAAAGGGAGCAAGAGCAACCCAGUGCAUAUGGCUCUAGGUGUAAAUGGACUCCCUCACCUUAUAGCCAAACGAAUUUAACUCAGGUAACAAGAAGCACUACUGCAUGAACUUCGAUGUGGAGGAUUCUUGCUUACAGUAAAGAAUG